AAGUGAAUAGUUCAGUUGGCAGAACGGUGGUCUUCAAAACCAAUGGUCGGGGGUUCAAAUCCCUCUUUACUUG
rnacentral:tRNA from 1 species